rnacentral:rRNA from 1 species
UACGGGGGGGCAAGCGUUGUUCGGAAUUACUGGGCGUAAAGGGCUUGUAGGUGGCCAACUAAGUCAGACGUGAAAUCCCCUCGGCUUAACCGGGGAACUGCGUCUGAUACUGGAUGGCUGGAGUGUGGGAGAGGGAUGCGGAAUUCCAGGUGUAGCGGUGAAAUGCGUAGAUAUCAGGAGGAACACCGGUGGCGAAGGCGGCUUUCUGGACGACAACUGACGCUGAGACGCGAAAAGCGUGGGGGAGCAAACAGG